CCUUAUCAAGAGAGACGGAGGGAUCAGGCCCUAUGAUGUCCGGCAACCUGCGAAAGUAAGGUGCUAAAUCCUGCGGAAAUACCGAAAGAUGAGG
rnacentral:ncRNA from 1 species